rnacentral:rRNA from 1 species
GGCGAACGCUGGCGGCGUGCUUAACACAUGCAAGUCGAACGGAAAGGCCCUGCUUUUGUGGGGUGCUCGAGUGGCGAACGGGUGAGUAACACGUGAGUAACCUGCCCUUGACUUUGGGAUAACUUCAGGAAACUGGGGCUAAUACCGGAUAGGAGCUCCUGCUGCAUGGUGGGGGGUUGGAAAGUUUCGGCGGUUGGGGAUGGACUCGCGGCUUAUCAGCUUGUUGGUGGGGUAGUGGCUUACCAAGGCUUUGACGGGUAGCCGGCCUGAGAGGGUGACCGGCCACAUUGGGACUGAGAUACGGCCCAGACUCCUACGGGAGGCAGCAGUGGGGAAUAUUGCACAAUGGGCGGAAGCCUGAUGCAGCAACGCCGCGUGCGGGAUGACGGCCUUCGGGUUGUAAACCGCUUUCGCCUGUGACGAAGCGUGAGUGACGGUAAUGGGUAAAGAAGCACCGGCUAACUACGUG